GCUCGGGUGGCGGAAUUGGUAGACGCGCUAGACUAAGGAUCUAGUGUCGAUAAGACGUAGGGGUUCGAGUCCCCUCUCGAGCA
rnacentral:tRNA from 1 species